rnacentral:lncRNA from 1 species
UCACAUUUCUUCUUUUACCAGUUCUGGAAUGAUAGAAUCAAAGCAAAUGCAAAUAAAAGGGUCCCAUAAAUUCCCCCCCCCCCCCCUCACUCACUCUAGAACUAGAACGAAUUCUUGAAAAGAAAACCAACCAGUAAUUGACAAAAUGUACAUCUGGAGCAUGCAAAAGAUAAUACUUUUUUUUUCCCUCAUGAAUUAUCUAAAGGAAAGAAGAGAACUAACUCUAGGACCCUAUUAGCAGCAACGAGCAUUAUAUCUUCUUGGCAUCAUCUUCCAGCGGAUCACGUAGAGUUCCGAACAUCCAGUCCAUCCAUAUUGUGUAGUGACCAUAGUNAGCUCUAG